rnacentral:rRNA from 1 species
CCUACGGGUGGCAGCAGUGGGGAAUAUUGGGCAAUGGGCGCAAGCCUGACCCAGCAACGCCGCGUGAAGGAAGAAGGCUUUCGGGUUGUAACCUUCUUUUGUCAGGGACGAAGCAAGUGACGGUACCUGACGAAUAAGCCACGGCGAACUACGUGCCAGCAGCCGCAGUAAUACGUAGGUGGCAAGCGUUAUCCGGAUUUACGGGGUGUAAAGGGCGUGUAGGCGGGACUGGAAGUCAGAUGUGAAAACCACGGGCUCAACCUGUGGCCUGCAUUUGAAACUGUAGUUCUUGAGUACUGGAGAGGCAGACGGAAUUCCUAGUGUAGCGGUGAAAUGCGUCUAUAUUAGGAGGAACACCAGUGGCGAAGGCGGUCUGCUGGACAGCAACUGACGCUGAGGCGCGAAAGCGUGGGGAGCAAACAGGAUUAGAUACCCCUGUAGUC